AUUGAACGCUGGCGGCAGGCCUAACACAUGCAAGUCGAACGAGCGGCGGACGGGUGUGUGAUGUCUGGGAAACUGCCUGCUGGGGGGGGGUAACUCCUGGAAACGGUAGCUAAUACCGCACACCCUCAGAUGUGUCCCCGUGGGAUUAGCUAGUAGGUGGGGUAACGGCUCACCUAGGCGACGAUCCCUAGCUGGUCUGAGAGGAUGACCAGCCACACUGGAACUGAGACACGGUCCAGACUCCUACGGGAGGCAGCAGUGGGGAAUAUUGCACAAUGGGCGCAAGCCUGAUGCAGCCAUGCCGCGUGUGUGAAGAAGGCCUUCGGGUUGUAAAGCACUUUCAGCGGGGAGGCGUUACCCGCAGAAGAAGCACCGGCUAACUCCGUGCCAGCAGCCGCGGUAAUUC
rnacentral:rRNA from 1 species